UACGAAGGGGACUAGCGUUGUUCGGAUUUACUGGGCGUAAAGCGUGCGCAGGCGGCUAUCCAAGUCAGUGGUGAAAGCCCGGAGCUCAACUCCGGAAUUGCCAUUGAAACUGUUUAGCUUGAGGACGAGAGAGGUGAGUGGAAUUCCCAGUGUAGAGGUGAAAUUCGUAGAUAUUGGGAAGAACACCGGUGGCGAAGGCGGCUCACUGGCUCGUUUCUGACGCUCAGGCACGACAGCGUGGGGAUCAAACAGG
rnacentral:rRNA from 1 species